rnacentral:lncRNA from 1 species
AUCAGAGAAAAAAGCAAAGAUUCCGGAACCAGUGGAGCUUCCACUUUCUACUCAGGCCAUAACGAGUCAGAGUCUGGGUGCGGCAUAACUGGGUCUUCUGCUCAGGGUCUCACGGGCUGUCAUCAGUGUCAGCCAGGCUGCAUGCCCUUCUGGAGACCCAACUGGGGAGAUUCCUCUUCCAAGCUCCUUCAGAUUGCUGGAACUGUGGCCUGAGGACUUGGCUUAAGAAGAUAACGACAGUCUUGCAACUUCUAAUAGUAUGUGUCAUCAUCCUUUGUCUCUGGCCCAAGAGUCCCCUGUCUUUGCAGGGCUGUGAAUAAUGUCAGUCACAGUGUCAGCGGGAAAAGAGAUUUGUUAGAUAUAUGGAACACCGUAUUCAGGCUUUGAAGAAUAGACACCAAGAAGAAUAAGUUCAACUGAGGAAAGAGCGUGACAUAAAAGUGGGCGAUCUAUGAACAAAGAAGAGGAUGAGCCUCAGGUCGCACUACCACAAACACACUAAAUUCAGUGGAAAAAAAUGUAUUCAGUGAUUCUAUUUUUUUUCUACCUGAAUGGUGACAAGUA